rnacentral:ncRNA from 1 species
ACAGCUUUGGUCCUGGGCUUACCGUUUUUUUUCUUUAAGAUUAUACAUGCAAGCCUCCGCACACCAGUGAGAAUGCCCACACCCCCUAAAAAGAAAGAUGGAGCUGACAUCAGGCACCACACCUAGCCCACAACGUCUUGUUCCUUUCCACACCCUCACGGGUUACAGCAGUAGUAAACCUUGGGCAAUAAGUGAAAGCUUGACCCAGCUAUAAAGACUUAGGGCCGGUAAAUUUCGUGCCAGCCACCGCGGUUAUACGAAAAGCCCAAAUAAACGGAUUAACGGCGUAAAUUGUGACUAGAUACUAUUAUAUUAAAAAUAUAAAAACCUUUUAAUCAGUUGUAAAAUACUCACAGACCUAAGGGAAAACCAAUAAAUAUAUUUUUAAUUCUAAAGCAUUGACCCCACGAAAGCUCAGAAACAAACUAGGAUUAGAUACCCUACUAUGCUAAGCCCUAAACAUUGAUAGAAUAUUCUACCAUUCUAUCCGCCAGAGGAUUACUAGUGAAAAACUUGAAACUCAAAGGACUUGGCGGUGUCCCACUUCGACCUAGAGGAGCCUGUCCUAUAAUCGAUACUCCCCGUUCAACCCAACCUCAACUUGCAUGUUCAGCCUAUAUACCGCCGUCGACAGUCUACCCCAUGAGGGCUUAAUAGUAGACAUAACAGUUUUACCACUAACACGUCAGGUCAAGGUGUAGCAAAUGCUGAGGAAGCGAUUGGCUACAUUUUUUUAAUAAAAAUAAACGAAAUGCAACAUGAAAUCAUGCACGAAGGUGAAUUUAGCAGUAAGAUAAACAAGAGUGCUUAUCUUAAAUUCGCUCUGGGACGCGCACACACCGCCCGUCACCCUCCUCAUUACAACCCUCAUACAAUCUAUAAUACAACCACUUAGUUACUAGAGGAGGCAAGUCGUAACAUGGUAAGCGUACCGGAAGGUGCGCUUGGACUA